rnacentral:rRNA from 1 species
UGGGGAAUCUUGCGCAAUGGGCGAAAGCCUGACGCAGCGACGCCGCGUGAGUGAUGAAGGCCUUCGGGUUGUAAAGCUCUGUGGGGAGAGAAGAAUAAGUGCGGGCUAAUACCCCGCAUGAUGACGGUAUCUCCUUAGCAAGCACCGGCUAACUCUGUGCCAGCAGCCGCGGUAAGACAGAGGGUGCAAGCGUUAAUCGGAAUGACUGGGCGUAAAGGGCGCGUAGGUGGACAUAUAAGUAAAUUGUGAAAGACCCGGGCUUAACCUGGGAAGGUCAAUUUAAACGGUAUGUCUGGAGUGGAGUAGAGGGAAGUAGAAUUUCCGGUGUAGCGGUGAAAUGCGUAGAUAUCGGAAGGAAUACCGGUGGCGAAGGCGUCUUCCUGGGCUCUAACUGACACUGAGGCGCGAAAGCAUGGGGAUCAAACAGGAUUAGAUACCCCCGUAGUCCCUGAGCGGGCUGGCAAGGCGCAU